UACGUAGGUGGCAAGCGUUAUCCGGAAUUACUGGGCGUAAAGCGCACGCAGGCGGUCUUUUAAGUUUGACGUGAAAGCUCCCGGCUUAACUGGGAGAGGUCGUUGAAGACUGGGAGACUUGAGGCAAUGAGAGGGGUGUAGAAUUCCUGGUGUAGUGGUGAAAUGCGCAGAUAUCAGGAGGAACACCGGUGGCGAAGGCGGGUCUCUGGGCCGAUACUGACGCUGAGGAGCGAAAGCAUGGGUAGCGAACAGG
rnacentral:rRNA from 1 species